AAAUUGAAGAGUUUGAUCAUGGCUCAGAUUGAACGCUGGCGGCAGGCCUAACACAUGCAAGUCGAACGGUAACAGGAAGCAGCUUGCUGCUUUGCUGACGAGUGGCGGACGGGUGAGUAAUGUCUGGGAAACUGCCCGAUGGAGGGGGAUAACUACUGGAAACGGUAGCUAAUACCGCAUAACGUCGAAAGACCAAAGAGGGGGACCUU
rnacentral:rRNA from 1 species